GCAGUGGUGGUUUGGUGGUGGAAUUCUCACCCUCCACUCAGGAAACCUGGGUUUGAUUCCCAGCCAAUGCA
rnacentral:tRNA from 1 species